GGGGGUGACUGGUUUCGACAGGGUGGGCCUGAGAUGGGCAGCAGGCCGUGGUCUCCUCGCCACGUUAAACAGGGGAACCGUCAAAUUGAAUUGACGACACUUAUUCUUACGAGCCUCUGGCUCUCGCUGCUUAAUUAACUAGCGGCGCGUCAAUGCGGGGAUCGCUCCCGUUCCCGCGGCGACGUCAUUUUAGGGAGAUGCUUGCUUGGACGUAGCUGGUAUGCCAAGCAAAAAGACUGAACCAACUGGGUCGCCAAGCGCGGGUUGACGGGUGCGCGGCGGCUAAGACUUAACCGGCAACUGAGCCUGGAGACACCUUUCAGGGGCUUGCUUUGGACCGGAGUUCGAUUCUCCGCACCUCCACCA
rnacentral:tmRNA from 1 species